GUGCUCACUUCAGUAGCAUAUGUAUUAAAACUAAACUGAUACAGAAAUUAGCAUGGCCUCUGCACAAGUAUCACAUGCAAAUUUGCAAAACAUUCCAUAUGUUU